GCGCAAGGUGGCAGCGUCGUCCCGAGCAAGCAAGAAGCGACGCCAUGAACAAGUUUUCCCUGUUUAGCCUCGUGAAACCAGCCAAAGCCAAAGAAGAAUGAAGUCAUGUGGUCAACAAAAAUGGAAAAAGCUCCAGAUCCAGGAACCAGCUGCAACUAAAGUCAAUGCAACCUCCACUGGUUUCAGAUGCCACAACUUCCUCAUCCGAAAUCAUCCUUCCCCCAAAUCCUGAGCCUGAUCCUCUGCAGUCGCAGCCUCUCUGCUGCAGGCACCAUCCAUCCAGGGAGGAAGGGACAAACGUCUAGAUUGCACAGAUCACUUGAUUCUGACCUGUGCAUCAGUCUAUAUACAACAUGUCAGUAACACACAUAUCAAUGUUGGCUUGUAUGUAUGACCACAAUUAGAUUUUGUCCAUUUACGGAUCGAUAAACUGAUCUUCUAAUGGCACUCAGUAAAAAAAUGGCAGGGACAGAA